AGUGAAUAGAUACCCUGGUAGUCCUAGCCGUAAACGAUACUCGCUAGGUGUCGGCCACGGUGCGACCGUUGUCGGUGCCGUAGGGAAAGCCGUGAAGCGAGCCACCUGGGAAGUACGGCCGCAAGGCUGAAACUUAAAGGAAUUGGCGGGGGAGCACCACAACGGGUGGAGCUUGCGGUUUAAAUUGGAUUCAACGCCGGAAAUCUUACCGGGACCGACAGCAAUAUGAAGGCCAGGCUGAAGACUUUGCCGGAUUAGCUGAGGGGUGGUGCAUGGCCGUCGUCAGUUCGUACUGUGAAAGCAUCCUGUUAAGUCAGGCAACGAGCGAGACCCACGCCCACAGUUGCCAGCGUACUCUCCGGAGUGACGGGUACACUGUGGGGACCGCCGCUGCUAAAGCGGAGGAAGGAAUGGGCAACGGUAGGUCAGUAUGCCCCGAAUAUCCCGGGCUACACGCGAGCUACAAUGGUUGGUACAAUGGGUAUCUACCCCGAAAGGGGAUGGUAAUCUCCUAAAGCCAAUCUUAGUUCGGAUUGAGGGCUGCAACUCGCCCUC
rnacentral:rRNA from 1 species